UUACAGCUCUAACAUACCAUCUAAGGCUGUUCUUUCUUGUAACUUAACAUGUUUUGUUGGAUCUGAAGACAUAGUAAAGGACGUGGAAGCCUGGAAAGAUGUAACCAGUGGAAAUACUAACAUUCACCAGCUUCCAGGGGAUCACUUUUAUCUUCUGGAUCCUGCCAACGAGAAAUUAAUCAAGAACUACAUAGUCAAGUGUCUAGAAGUAUCAUCACUUGCCAAUUUUUAGAUAUUUUUCCUUUCACUUUUAAAAUAAUCAAAGUAAUAUGAUACUCUUUUCAGUUAUUCAGCUGUAGCUCAGUUUUAUUCAGAUUGGAAAUUACACAUUUUCUACUGUCAGGGAGAUUCGUUACAUAAAUAUAUUGAGGUAUCUGGGGACAAAGGUCAAGCCAGUAAAGAAUACUUCUGGCAGCACUUGGGGAGGCCAAGGCGGGUGGAUCACAAGGUCAGGAGAUCAAGACCAUCCUGGCUAACAUGGUGAAACCCAAUCUGUACAAAAAUUACAAAAAAUUAGCCAGGCAUGGUGGCGGGUGCCUGUAAUCUCACCUACUCAGGAGGCUGAGGCAGGAGAAUGGCGUGAACCCGGGAGGCGGAGCUUGCAGUGACCUGAGAUGACACCACUGCAAUCCAACCUGGGCGACAGAGCAAGACUCCAUCUCAAAAAAAAAAAAAAAAAA